rnacentral:rRNA from 1 species
GACGAACGCUGGCGGCGUGCUUAACACAUGCAAGUCGAACGGAAAGGCCCUGCUUUUGUGGGGUGCUCGAGUGGCGAACGGGUGAGUAACACGUGAGUAACCUGCCCUUGACUUUGGGAUAACUUCAGGAAACUGGGGCUAAUACCGGAUAGGAGCUCCUGCUGCAUGGUGGGGGUUGGAAAGUUUCGGCGGUUGGGGAUGGACUCGCGGCUUAUCAGCUUGUUGGUGGGGUAGUGGCUUACCAAGGCUUUGACGGGUAGCCGGCCUGAGAGGGUGACCGGGGACAUUGGGACUGAGAUACGGACCAGACUGGAACGGGAGGCAACAGUGGGGAGUAGUGCAGAGUGGGCGGAAGCCUGAUACAGCAACUCCGCGUGCGGGAUAACGGGCGUCGGGUUAUAAACCAAUUUGGCAUGUGACAAAGCGUGAGUGACGGUAAUGGGUAAAGAAGAAACGGCUAACUACGUG